AAGGAGUUCAUUGAGACCCUCCGCCCCCUUUUUGUGGGCGGCAGGGCGCAUCAACUCUCCGAGA
rnacentral:snoRNA from 1 species